rnacentral:rRNA from 1 species
AUUGAACGCUGGCGGCAGGCCUAACACAUGCAAGUCGAGCGGAUGAAGGGAGCUUGCUCCUGGAUUCAGCGGCGGACGGGUGAGUAAUGCCUAGGAAUCUGCCUGGUAGUGGGGGAUAACGUCCGGAAACGGGCGCUAAUACCGCAUACGUCCUGAGGGAGAAAGUGGGGGAUCUUCGGACCUCACGCUAUCAGAUGAGCCUAGGUCGGAUUAGCUAGUUGGUGGGGUAAAGGUCUACCAAGGCGACGAUCCGUAACUGGUCUGAGAGGAUGAUCAGUCACACUGGAACUGAGACACGGUCCAGACUCCUACGGGAGGCAGCAGUGGGGAAUAAUGGACAAUGGGCGAAAGCCUGAUCCAGCCAUGCCGCGUGUGUGAAGAAGGUCUUCGGAUUGUAAAGCACUUUAAGUUGGGAGGAAGGGCAGUAAGUUAAUACCUUGCUGUUUUGACGUUACCAACAGAAUAAGCACCGGCUAACUUCGUG